AGAUCAAUGAGCUGUAGACUACAACUUCGCUACUGCACGUGUCGGUAGCAUUGCUGAUAAGCUGCGCGCGAGUUUGCGAGAUUUUCGAGUGUCGAACGGAUAUGUUACUUUGCGUGAUUAUAGUUUUCGUACCGUUUUUUUUGUCUCGAAAUACCCGUCGUGUCGGGAGUGUCGUGUAAAGUUUCGCGAGUGCCGUGAGUGCUACAGGAGCAAUGACUAUCGAGCAAGAGAGGAGGAGGCCCGUGGAGGCAUCGGACAACAGCGGGGCAACUGUAAAAUCAACGUGCUGUGUACUACAACUCCGCUAUUGGGCGUGUCG